rnacentral:rRNA from 1 species
AACGAACGCUGGCGGCAGGCCUAACACAUGCAAGUCGAGCGCCCCGCAAGGGGAGCGGCAGACGGGUGAGUAACGCGUGGGAAUCUACCUAGUGGUACGGAAUAGCCCCGGGAAACUUGGAGUAAUACCGUAUACGCCCGAAAGGGGAAAGAUUUAUCGCCAUUAGAUGAGCCCGUGUUGGAUUAGCUAGUUGGUGGGGUAACGGCCCACCAAGGCGACGAUCCAUAGCUGGUCUGAGAGGAUGAUCAGCCACACUGGGACUGAGACACGGCCCAGACUCCGACGGGAGGCAGCAGUGGGGAAUAUUGGACAAUGGGCGCAAGCCUGAUCCAGCCAUGCCGCGUGAGUGACGAAGGUCUUCGGAUUGUAAAGCUCUUUUGGCGGGGACGAUAAUGACGGUACCCGCAGAAUAAGCCCCGGCUAACUUCGUGCCAGCAGCCGCAGUAACAC